UACGUAGGGUGCAAGCGUUAAUCGGAAUUACUGGGCGUAAAGCGUGCGCAGGCGGUUUUGUAAGUCAGAUGUGAAAUCCCCGGGCUUAACCUGGGAACUGCGUUUGAAACUACAAGGCUAGAGUGUGGCAGAGGGGGGUGGAAUUCCACGUGUAGCAGUGAAAUGCGUAGAGAUGUGGAGGAACACCGAUGGCGAAGGCAGCCCCCGGGGGUAAAACUGACGCUCAGGCACGAAAGCGGGGGGAGCAAACAGG
rnacentral:rRNA from 1 species